UUCCACUUUCACUCUUUUCCCCCCUCACAGAUGGAUCUGCAUGGAGCCAUUCAGCACAAGGAGAGAGGUAUGACUUCCUCUUCCUCUUUUUGGGUGGAACCGCUAGGCCUCUCCAGUUUUCAACUGUGUCUUCAUCUGUUGGAUGGAUGUUUGUGACAGUGUCAGACUUCCCAGAACAGGAAGCAUCCAUUUCUGCUUUUCCGUCUACAUGGCAAGUUGUGGUGGGUAUUGGAUUGGCUCCUGUGAUGAUCACUGUUGCAACAGCAGCAUCUUCUUCACCUUCUUCACCUUUUUGUUUUGCAGAAAAAAUUCGCAUAUUACCCUCAAUGAAGGACAAAUGUCAAGCAAUGAAUUGAUCCACCCGAAUAGGCAAGUUUUCAUGCUUGAAGAUCCCACAUUUGAUGUUUUUGAACUCUGCUUCAACAUUGGCUGAACUUGCGGUGAUGUUGGUGCUUCGGAAGUGAGGGAUCAUUACACCUGUCCAGAGUGGUAAGUAACUUGCAAGCCAGAUUAUAUUGGGAAUAAUCUCAGGGAGGAAGUGCAUAUUAUCAUGAUCACCAUUAGCCAUGGCAAGUGACCUGCUCUCCUCACAUAUGUCUGUCACCCACUGCCGUAGGUCUGUCUGUGUUUGGUCAAAUGGAUGCACUUCUUCCAGGUCCUCACCCUCUACAUCUGGAAUGAUUACACACUCUUCUGAAAUUCUGGCUUUCAGGUAUUUCUUGCAUCUUUCUGAUAUAAGGGGGGCUCCAGAGCUAUCAUUGCCCUCUGCUUUGCUGAGAGCCAUAACAGUAAUACUGCGUAGUAGCUCUCUUGCAUUGUCCGUGGAUUGUGACUUGAGAAGCUGUGCCAUUGACCUCACAAAUAAAUCUUUAAUGUGAUGUGAUUUUUUUCUUCAAGCAGUCCCACUGGCAGAUCAUCUUGAUGCAGUGUGCAACAUCAACCCGAACAAAACAAGGUGGCACUUUUGCUGACACUUUACCGAGUAAGACACCACAACACUCAUUGAUGUAGGUCUUCAGAUCAGAAUGAGGAGUAAAAGCCUUGACCAGAACUGCAACAUUUGCACCACUGGGACACUUGAACUCUCAUCCCCUGCCAGAACACCCUGAUAUAAGAAGAUAUGGCCAGACAUGCCAUUUGGUCUCUGUAGUUUCCUCACCACUGAGCCAGUUGCAUCAAAACUCACAGUGGGGGUGGCCAAAUUAGGAAGAUGGCUUGGCUCAGGAUCUCCAAAAUCCAUCAGCUUUGUUGCCUCUGAUGCCCUCCAUACAUGGGGUUCCAUUCUACCCUCACACAGUUCUUUGUCUAUCUGCACACGCAAGUUACCAGACAUCGGACGCUUCGAACAUCCAGUGUGCAGGUAGUCAUCAGUGUUUUUAAUUACACAAUUGAGCACCAUUGGGCUGUUCAUUUCAGGCUCUCUGUCACAUUUUAUGUGAAUGUGGCCAUGACUUUCCUUACAAUUGACUCUGAUUUCUAUGAAUUUCUCUGUUACUAAUGGGUAGAACUUGGCUCUUUUAAAGACAAAUGUGCAGGGGCUUUUCACUUCUUCCCAAAUGUGAUGAUUUACCACAUGUGUCCAGAUGCCAGGCUUCAAAAUUGUGUAUUCCCUUUUUUGUGUUUUAGAGAACUU